UUGAUUUUCAGUGCUUUAGAAGAAUAAGUUUUGAUAUGUAUGAAACAUGAUUGUAUGCCGAUCCCUUGCUUCGCGCGCGAGUUUCCCGAUAGGGUUUUUUUUUGCGGAGUUUGUGUCUUUUUAGCUUUGGGUUCGAUGUUUUUGUUCGAUUAAUCGUUUUAUAGGGAAUAAAAAAAAGCCCAUAACAAUAGGAACGGGAAAAAAAAUUGCUAACCGAAAUGAAUCUGCCCCAAAAAUUAAAAACCCACGCGCGAGUUUGACUCGAAAGUAUGGGGUGUGACAACUUUCUUUAUUGACACGACACAGCAAUGUUGGGUCAUGUAUGUUGACAUAUUGAUUCUUGAAUGUGGAGGGAACCCUUAUGAUGCAGUGUCAUUGGCUGAGAAAUCGGCUCUUUUUUUGCAACACAAAUUCCAUCUAUUAAAAUAGCAACCAUGGACGGAUAUCAACCUGAUGUGGAGCUCUCAGAUGAUCCUUAUGAUACCAAGAGACUAAACACAGAGAACAUUCCUUGUGUACUGACUUUGAUGAAGAUUGGAAACCAUUUCCUAGUAGUUCCAACACCAAAAGAAAAAUGCUGCAGCUUUUCUGGUAUUAAAAUGAUUACUGCAGUUAGGAAAAUUGACAGUUGUAAGACAUCAGCUAUGAUAUUCUUAAAGAUGGAACUUUUAGAGAAAUAACAUUUAAGCGAUGAUAUAAAUCUUCCAAGAGUUCACCUUUACUUAUCUCUUCGUAACCUAGGUUGACUAUAUAAUUUCUCUACCAUCGCCCGUUGUCUGAAUUAAAGUGCUUUUGGUAUAAAAAAGAAACGGCAAAUAAAGCGGCAAUUCAAGCAUUUAUUGUAAA
rnacentral:lncRNA from 1 species